UUUCUUCUGGGCUUGGUUCCGGAGGAGGCCAAAAGAAAGUUUACCAGGGAAGCAAUUUGAAGGCAAAAGUCCACUCUAAAGUGAAGUCUGCCUGUGAGAGGUGAACACAAGAGAUUCCCCUGAAGGUCACAGACUGGCUGGUUGGUGUAUGCAAAAGAGAAAGAGAGACCCUGUUUGAAAAAGGCUGAAGGUUUGCUGAGUUGAAUGCCAAAGAGUCUUCGAAGUACGAUUUCCAUUCAGGGAGAUCCGGUUACCCAGCUCCUAGAAAAGGAAGAAGACAUUCCUUAGGGCAGCAAUCCACACACUGUUGGAGCUAAAACAGUGGACACUGUGGAGACACAGGAUUUGUGAGUCUUUAGAUGGACUAACUUUACCCAUCCAUGCAGGAGCCAUGGAUAAUUUUAGACAGACAGGCAACUGAAGAAAGUCCCCCAGUGUCACUUACAGUGGGAUGAUGCUCCAGGUACAACAAAGAGCAAAAGACCAGCUAUGCACAGAAAUCCUGGUGGAUAGUAUACUAAGGAGGAUUAUUUAAAAAACGAACGAAGGUGUAUUUUUAAGUCAGUUCUGACUUCUAAGGUAGGAUUUCAAACUAAGCCAAAUUUCAUGAACAUAUCAUCAUUGAAACCAUGAUGGCUGAAUU
rnacentral:lncRNA from 1 species